rnacentral:lncRNA from 1 species
AGUUAUUCAUAUGGAGCUAUUCAUAUGUAUUUGCUUAUACACAUUUAUACAUGUGUAUAUAACUUUUUUUUUUUGCGAUGUUUUUUUUAUUUUAGAUUGAAUUAUUGUUAAAAAACAGCAGCGAUAUGCAUAGAGCUAUAUUUGCGUUAAGCAUAGGUACUAAAAAUAAAUAUAUUUUUUUUAUAAUAUAAUAAACUUUAUCACUUUUUGUCACUUUUUUUUUUUUUUUUUUUGUAAUAUAUUAAUGAGGACGUACGUAUAUAUGAUAAUGUAUAUAUAGCAACAUGUGUAUAUUCCAAUUUUUAUAUAACCUUUCCAAAUAUAAUCAGGUAUAGGAUUACGUCCUUCUGAAGUCUUGCGUAUUUUGUGGGAAGAUAUAAAUUUUAACAAAAAAGAAAUAUUCAUUAAAGGUGGAAAAACAAAAUAUAGUACUACUUCAAUUCCAUUAACUAAUUUCGCUUACAAUGAAUUGAUGAAAUGGUGGGAAUUAGAAAAAAGACCUUCAAAGGGAUUAUGUUUUUAUUCAGAACUGAUUAAAAAUAAGUUUAAUUACACAGAUACGAAAACACCAUUAAAAACGUUUAAGACAGCACUUCAUGGGGCAGCAAAACGAGCUGGGAUUGAAAUUAGUGAAGAUGGGAAGAAAAGAAGAAUAUUCCCAUAUUUAUUAAGACAUUCUUUUGCAACUAUAGCUGCAACUUCUAAUCCUCCCGUUCCUUUACCAGUUGCGCAGGCUAUCAUGAGACACUCUUCGUCAAAAAUGUUGUUAGAUACUUACACGAAAGCGGGCAACAACAUAAUUAGAGAUGGGUUGGAUAAUUUCAAAAUAUAAACAUGUUUAUAUAGCAGUACUAAUAUUAUGUAUAUCUACAAUAUGUUUGUAUUAACGACAAAAAAAAAAAAAAAAAAAUUAUAUCUUUUUCUUUUUUUUUUUUUAAUGAUUUUUUUUAAUGGCUUCUGUUUUUUUUUUCGUUUAUUAUACAACAAGAAAAAAAAAAAAUAUAUAUUUUUUUAUUGUUGUAGACCACAAUGGUUGAA